rnacentral:misc_RNA from 1 species
GAUGAAGAACGCAGCGAAAUGCGAUAAGUAAUGUGGAUUGCAGAAUUCAGUGAAUCAUCGAAUCUUUGAACGCAACUUGCGCUCUCUGGUAUUCCGGAGAGCAUGCCUGUUUGAGUAUCAUGAAAUCUCAACCAUUAGGGUUUCUUAAUGGCUUGGAAUUGGGUGUUGCCAGUCGCCUGGCUCGCCUUAAAAGAGUUAGCGUGUUUAACUUGUCUAUCUGGCGUAAUAAGUUUCGCUGGUGUCGGCUUGAGAAGUACGCUUCUAAUCGUCUUCGGACAAUUCUUGAACUCUGGUCUCAAAUCAGGUAGGGCUACCCGCUGAACUUAAGCAUAUCAAAAGCGGAGGA